GAGAAACAGGUCGCGCUGAAACAUUCGCAAUUUAUUCGAAUUACAAAUGAAUACAACUUAGUGCUAUUAACGUUUCUCAUUAUCGUUUAUAUAUUUCUGUGAAUUGAUACGGAAAAAAAAGAAAAAAAAAGAAAAAAAAGAUUUUCUAAAGAGAAAGAGAGAAAGAGAGAGAGAGAGAAAGGAGAAGUAAAGAUAAACGACGUCGUUACUCGUGACCAUCGAAUGUUCACUAAUUCGACUUAUCCGAUCGCUUAAUCGUACGACGAUAUUCAAAACACAAGCUACUGACUAUCGUAAAUGCCAGAGGAAAAUUCUAUAAUUUGAACAACAACAUCGAAAGUCCGAGUUGACGUGCGAGGUCGACCCUCGUUGGUACGAGCGAAUGAGAACGUUCCACCUCGAUUGGAAGAUCCUUGAGUCCCGAGAUCGGAUUAUUACAAAAAAAAGAAGAAGAAGAAGAAGAAAAAAAUUGUUUAUAACAAAUUGCCAUACAUUUGUUAAACUAUACAAACGAGAAAAUUGUAUAUUACUUUCGACAACAUUAUAUGAUAUUACAUUAUUGUCAUAUAUUAUUUUAUCGUAUGCAAUGACAACGAAAUGUUUCAUUUUUAAAAGUAAAUUUUUUUUAACAACAAAUUCUCAAUAUGCAAAAUUAUUAACGAUAUACAAAGAAUAAAGAUUACGUAUGAGAUUCUAUAGGUUUAUAUUUAUAUUACAUUACAUUACAUCGGUCUUAUACAGAUACAUUUUUCUUUUUUUUUUUUUUUUUUUUUUUGUAUGAUUUUAUAAUGAAUUGUUUAUAUGAAGGGAGUAAUAUAAUUAAUAAAUAUAUUCAAUAAUAUUACACAUAUAUGAUAUCAGUAAUUACUUUAACUUCAUAUAAAUCUCUACGAGUAUGAAUACUAUAAAAAAAAAAAAAAAGAAAAUUAUUUAUAACAAAUCGUUAUACAUUUUAUUAAUAAAAUAUAGCAAAAAAAAAAAAAUAUUUUAACCUACAAAAUGGUUC